rnacentral:RNase_P_RNA from 1 species
UCAGACGGCCGGACGGCCGCCCUUCGAGCAAUCGGGGGGAGGAAAGUCCGGGCUCCACGGAAACACGGUGCCGGAUAACGUCCGGCGGGGGCGACCCUAGGGAAAGUGCCACAGAAAGCAAACCGCCCGCUCCCUGUUCCAGGCAGCGGGUAAGGGUGAAAGGGUGCGGUAAGAGCGCACCGCGCGACCGGCAACGGAAGCGGCACGGUAAACCCCACCGGGAGCAAGACCAAAUAGGGGCGGCAUGUGUCCUCUUCGGAGGGCCGAAACGCGUUUCCGCGUAGCCGCCCGGGUCGGUCGCGAGAGGCGUCCGGUAACGGGCGUCCCAGAUGAAUGGCCGUCUAUUUUCGUGCCAUGGGAGACCAUGGGACGGAAGGGACAGAACCCGGCUUACAGGCCGUCUGACGCC